AGUACAAUAAUAGAUCUCAUGGAACAAUUCUAAGUCAGGGGUCAUCAAACUCUUUUCAACAUCUUGGGAUGAAUGAAUCCGGAGGCCCCUGUGAAAGCACAGAUAAUGCAUGGUCGCAACAUAAAUAGCCUAGAGGAACCGUCAUA